rnacentral:lncRNA from 1 species
UCACUAUUAUGGUUUGUUCUGCAUCAACAGUAAUCCUUUACUGCCUUUUUAUUCCAGAUACAAUAAACUUUUUUUUGUGAGAGAUUAGUACCUCAACUUUGCUUCUGCAUUUCAUCAGCCAGAGCAGCUGUUCAUUAUUUUGUGUAUUUCAAAGCAGGAGAGAUAAUAACUAAAACAGACAUCAAAACUUGUGGUGGGGAGAAGAAUGCAUCCUUCCAUUCAGUGCAUCCUCUAGGUUCAGUGUACCUUGGAAAGCCCAGUCCAUCCAAGCACACAAUUCACUUCUCACCAUGGACAGACAUCUCCACCUGAGCUGGAAGCCUGAGGCUGCCUUUGGAAGCAGCAGAGAGGAAAAGGCACCUUCAGAAGCCUCUUCACCCCAUCCUUAGGUAGACAUAGAAAGGAAGAUUCAGGUGAGUAGCUCACAAAUACGCCUCCAUUAUAGAUAUCUGUCUUUAAUCAGAUAAAUCCCUACAGUGUCCCCAAAGAGAAGCUCAAAACCCAGGGACCCGAGGGAAAUGAGGCUUUGUCCCUCUCAGGGGUGUGGGAGCUGCCAUCUCUCUGUCUGCAGGAUUUGCAGGUGCAGAGUGAACAUGCCACAGGCUCCCUGUGGCAUCCAUCAG